rnacentral:rRNA from 1 species
GGAUGCGAUCAUACCAGCACUAAAGCACCGGAUGCCAUCAGAACUCCGAAGUUAAGCGUGCUUGGGCGAGAGUAGUACUAGGAUGGGUGACCUCCCGGGAAGUCCUCGUGUUGCAUUCC